UCUUCCUGCUGGCCUGGCCAGGGCCCAGCGUCACACUUUCCCUGAAGCUCGCCUGCUUCUGGGGGGAGGGGAGGCUGGAGGUGCACUGCCCACUCAUAACUGGGGUGACACCUGGUCUCUCUCCAUCUCUUACUGGGGUGCUUCUCGGGUGUGGCAGGCUGGGGCGCACUGUGGGUCCCUGCUUGCGCUGGCUGCUGGGGUAUUCCCUUUGGUCCCUAACCACCCAGCUCAAAGCUGACAGGGUGAGGGGGGUCCUUCAUGGAGUGAACUAUCCCUGCGGCCAAAUGAUGGUGAUAGGGCACAGGCUUAAAUUCAGAAACACCCCCAGGCAGAGCAGAGUACGUAAAGUUAAGGUCAGCAGGAAAGCAGACCCACCCCGGUUCUGGACAGACAGAACGCUGUGUUGCCAUCAGGGACUGCACUUGAACUUCCUUUACGGCUGGGACCACCGAGCCCAGGUUUCAGCUCUGCACGGGGGCAACAGCACCUGUCUGCACAGGGUGUGGAGAGUGAAGGAGGACAGCACAUGGCGGCCUCCAUGGAUGCCGGCCUCUCCCUGCUGCUUAGGAGCUCAAGAGAUCGGGGAGGUAUUCAGGAUGGGCAGAGAGGCGGCUCGGGUCACGUGUCCGCCCCGAACCCAAAGGGUGUCUCCUGCCUUUUUGUGGGCAAGGGGUUUGGCUUACCAGUGUAAAGUAUGACACAAUGAGCAAAGCCAAGUCCUCUGCCAGGCAGCCCCCACCCUGCAGCCCCCAGGGGCAGCCAGAUUUGCCAGGAAUGGGAAGUUGCAAAAUCAUCCUGACCAAAGGGACACCCAGCGACGCAGGCCCAACCCUCGGAGCCGAGAGCCGGGGCCAGGGGGCUGUGGGCCCAGCUUCUCUCCUCGGCCUCCGACUCCGUGAGCUAUGCUUAGUUCAGGGGCGAAAAGGAGCAAGUUCGUGAUUGUUUAUGGAGAAAAUUCCUUGCCAUUGUUGCCAAAGCAGCAGCCCGUUCACCAGAGUGUGAUGUCAACAUACUAAUCACCAUGAAAUGCACGCGGAUGGCCUGGAACACAGACGAGUAUUUUUAACCCAUCACUUAAACAAGAAAUCAAGCUUGGCGUGGUCACGCGGGACGUCACUGCUUCGCCUCCAGCGGCAGAGCGGCGUGCCAUGCUGACACGGGAUGGAUUUACGCUGCUCGCCCCCCCUUCCUGUGGACGCUAAUAGGGAAGAGUCACAACCAGCGUGACUGAGACCACGGCAGCCGCAUGCUGGGCAUCGUCCUAAGCCCUGUACGCGACUAUCUCGGUCAAACCCCGUAAGUGCUGGCAGUGAGGAUUUUUUUAUUACUCUCCCAGUUUACAGGGGGGAAGACGGAGGUUUAGAACAGCUAAGUGGCGCUGCUCAGAUCUAAGCCCGGGGCGGCCGAGUCCAGAACUCUUUCCUCCCCCCGCCAGCCUCUGCUCAGAGCACCGGACAUCAAGACAACGCCUUCUAACAAGACACAUGUUUGGGUCAGAUUUUCGUCCUCAGCAUGAGAAUUCAGGUUUCUGGUGGUUUCUGCCACCCGCACCGAGCCUCACACAGGCUCCGCCUACUUUACCCCUUCCCAGUGACUCACGGGCCCAGCCAGGGUCAGGUCGACCGGCCUCCCUUGCGCCGUUGUCCCCAUCAGCCCCUUCAAGGGAUGUGAAACCACAGACUUUAAGUCAUAAGGGGCAGGGUUUGGAGUGUAACUGCUGGGUCUCAAUCUUGGGCAAGACCCUUCACCUCCAGAGUCUCAAUUUCUGGGGGUGGGAACCAGUGGGAAUGUAGGUACAGCCCCGAGCUGAAGGUGAGCACAGAGCAGGUGCUGAAAUAAAGGGGGCUAUGGCUGUGGCACAGGAGGCCCGAGGCAGGAGAAAACACGACAUUCAGACGCUGCCUCCUUGGUCCAGCACACAACACCUCCGCACCCUCAGCCCCAUGGUGCCAGGCGCUGGCGUUCGCAUAUAUUCGUGAAGUGUUCCUGAAAACCCCAUGACGUGCCUUCUACUGUUAUCCCAGCUUCAAACAGAGAGGGGACCGCUUGCCCCCGGUCAGCGUGGAGCCGGCCAUCUUUCAAUAAUGCAACCUGCUUCUGCUAGCUGGGUAUACAGGAGAAAACCCAAAGGAACUGAGAAUAUUGAAAUGGUUCUACCAUUUCCAUCUUGGAGACAAAUGUGCCUCUCAGAGGAGAGCCGGAUGCAAGCAUGUGACUCUGCCUAACGACCGUCUACACAUAAGAGACGACACACACACUCCAGUGAUGUCUUACGCAAACAGGGAAAACACUGACCGGCGGGUCUGACCCCAGGCUCCUUCCCUCCUCUCGGCUCUCGUUCCUCAGAGUUGUCACGUGGGCUGGAGUCUUGGAUUUCUUUCUUUUUUAUUAGGAAAACAUCCAAACCAUGUGGAACCAGGCGGCCGAAUGGGGCCUCGCUUAUCAGGCACAACAGAAUGUAUCCUGAUCCUUGCUCUAAACCUGGAAGAGGCUCCUUGGAUGUUUCCCCAAACCCCUCCUCAUGACAAAUAAGCAGGAGGAGGAGAGGGAAAGGAGACUCUGGGCCUAUCCCCCAACCUCCACCUUUUAAAAACGGAAGCAUUUUAAAACAUUGAGGCCGAAUUGUUUCAUCUGUCACUUAAAACCUUCCGGCUUAGAGAACACAAGGAGGUGUUGGUCAUACGUGAUUUGAAGCAAAAAACACGUUAAAAGUGAGUUUCUUUUUCUAAGGAAUAAAUCUGAGCGACACGGAAGUGUUUUCCUUGGAGGCCCCCCCAACACCUAGGUACCCCCCCCCCGCCCCCCGUCCCCGCCAGAUCCUGGGACCGCAGACCCGGGCCCCACCUGCCCCCAACUCUGGCAGCUUGCUUACCUCUUUUUCAAUUUCUGCCAGAGAUUUGAUGGUGAUUCCCAAGAGAUCAAAGGGCUGCAUCUGUAAACACAGAUCAAGGCAUCCUUUUAAACGGCUGGAAAAUGCUGUUUCACAUUCGCUUUUAUGCAUGACGACGGUGACAUCUCAAACCACCCUAUGUGAUCUAGCGUUUUCUCUAUUCUCUUUCAGUGGAAACCCACCAGGACUCUAGUGAUCACUGAGGGUACAGGGGUGAGCGACGGGAGCACAUAUUGCAGAAAACCUGGCUGACAACAGGGCUGGCCCCUGCUGGCAGGGACCCUGCCUGGUCAUGUCGACAGCACCCAGCAAGGUCACAGCCCUCCUAAAAGACAGUGACUGUCACUGAUCACUUCCGCCUCUUCUCCAUGCCCGUGUCAAAAGCCGGUUUGCUCCUUCCACAGCUGGGGGGCCGGAGGGGCACAGGGCUUCACCACAUGCUACCCUGACUGCUCCAUCUACGUGGUGGGAUGGGUCUAAGCAGUUCCAGGAGGCAGGAUGGUCAGUCUCUUGUCUGGGACUCCUUGACAUCCAGGGAAGGAGCCGGAGGGAGUUCUAGGCCUCUGGAAAUGCAAGGGGAAUGAAGGACAUGCCCAUCAAUUAUCAUUUGAGAAAUGAGAAAUGAUCAGUCGUGGUGAAAACUGGUAACACUGCACUUUAAUGGGCGUUUCUAGAAGUUCAUGAAGAUGGGAACUUUUUCUGAGGACGCUGGCUUUUCAACAGACGACAUGAAAAAUCAAAUGUACAUGGCAACAAGGGUCAGCUGGAAGCCUGGAGAAGUCUGGGCUGAACGCAUGGUGAGAGGGGACCUGGUCCCUGGGGCCCCUGCUCUGAGCCCUCUCUGGGCACAUCGGGCGUUUCAUAUUCCCGAGGGGGGGGGGGGUUCCGAAAACAGGCAGCCGGGACGAACAGGUGAAACCGGGGUCUCAGACAAAAGCCCAGGCCUUCGUGGUUCCCAGCCACAGCCCAGAGGUGGGGCUUCCUCUCCUGUUUCGGAGCAGGGUGGCGGGGCUGGGCUGGCGGGGGAGGUUAAAGGACAGAGCACAGGGGGUGUGCGGCACGGGGCUUGGCCCAAGCCACCGGGCCUCGGGCACGUGCUGAGUCGGCAGCGCCGGGCAGCAGCGAGCUGGCGAGGGCGAUCUUGGGGCAGGGCCACCGAAGUCGGCACUCCGCUCCCGGGGCUGCGCUGCCAGGAGCCACAAAACAGCCCCGCUCUCCCCCGCUGCCAGCCCGAGUGGCAAGAACAGGGCUGCUUGCCCGCCAUCCAGCAGAGGUCCAGCUGUUGCAUCAUUAGGCUCUAACUGCCCCACUAAACUUUCCCGAUUGGAGCCGGUGCGCAGGACAGAACAGCCUCUCCGAGGGAGCGAGGGAGCGGGGCGGGAGAGGCGCCAGCGUUGCCAUGGCAACGCGGCCAAGUGGCGUCGGCUGAAGUUACUCAUGCUCCGCAAGUCACGUCACGAGCAUUUUUCAAGAUUAAGCUGCUUACCAGAAGGGUUCAGAGGAGGCCUAUUAUAUUUCAUGAAAAUGGAAACUACAGAGCAGGUCAAAUCGCAAGCCGGGUGGUUUUAAGCUGGAUCCAAGAAAUACACUGAAGGAUUCUUUAGCUGGUGCCCAAACUGGGGCCCUCACGGUUAUUAGCUACUCGAAGCAAAGUUCUGCAAAAAGGAUUUAAAAAGCCCUGAAACAAGUCUAUCGAGCCUGCACGGGCCAGGCCUGUAACAGUUGAGGGCGGGGGCUCUGCACCCAAGGUGGGGGGGCACCAUCUGACAGGGUCCCAGGAGUGCCAGGUGGGGUGGGCUCCCCCCCCAGUCUGGGAUCGGGCCUUCAGGCCCCCAGCCAGCCCCCUCAGGCCCCCUGUCAUCAGAGAUAGCUCAGGGGCCCCGGCUGGCCGGUGCAUAGCAUGGGGUUCCUGGGGGCCCACAGUGAGCGGGAGAGCACAGCCACAGGCACACACACUAGCCGGCCGGCCCUGCCAUUCCGAGGCCUCCCUCCAAUCCAGAGCAGAGAGUGUGGUUAUCGCAGCAUCCGGCAAUGACCAUGGAAAAACCAGGCAGCCUUCUUUCUGUAAAAUGUCGUCACGGUUAAAUAAAAAAAAAACAAAAAUGAAGUUGAACCUGGGGGCGCCUGGGUGGCUCAGUCGGUUAAGCAUCCGACUUCAGCUCAGGUCGUGAUCUCCUAGUUUCCGAGUUUGAGCCCCACAUCGGGCUCUGCGCUGUCCUGACCUUCGGACCCUCUCUGUCCCUCCCUCUCUCAAAAAUGAA